UGUGUGUCUCCUCUCUGAAUGGCACUCA
rnacentral:piRNA from 1 species